rnacentral:lncRNA from 1 species
UCGUAUUUAGGAAGAAAGCUUGCUUGUGUUGGCUUGAGUAGCUUUCCCGAACUUAAGGUUUUGCACCUGAAAUCAAUGUAUUGGCUAGAUGAGUGGACGAUGGGGGCUGGAGCAAUGCCGAAACUUGAAAGCUUAAUUGUCAACCCAUGUGCUUACUUGAGAAAGCUUCCAGAAGAGCUGUGGUGCAUAAAGAGCUUGCGCAAAUUGAAUUUACAUUGGCCUCAGACAGAGUUGAGACAAACACUACGGACUUUCGAGGAUAUGGAGUGGCGGUAUGACAUCCAGUUAUAUCCUUACGGAAUCUGAUGGAUUGAAUUGGGUGAGUUUUAAUCUUUUCUGAUAACUCAUAUUUUUAUAUGCAUUUUCUUUUUUUUCCCACUUUCUCAAUAGAUUUAUAUUUAUGGUAAAACCUUCAAGGAGGUCAUAAAAAUGCCAAACUAAUUGAGAUUGCUUCUGAUGUCAAAAUUAUGUCUCAGCAUAGACUCAGCUUGGGUGGCAAAACAGAGUGGGAUAGCCACACAUUGCAGCAGAGAAACAAAGAAAGAUCCCCCUUUUAUCAAUCUAAUAAGAACCGUAAAAGCAGAUUUUCAUUUAUUAUUCUUAUUUUCACUUACGUAGGCAAAAUUGGAGAGGGAAACAACGCCAGCCGGACUUUCAGUUUCAAUUUUAAUUCAGCAUUGAUUCAUGAGACAGGGCAUUGUUUUAUUUAGCAGAUUUCGAGGAUUUGCUAUAAACAUGCCAUGGUUGCAAUGUUGUCUACAAACUUGAACUUUUGCACUCCUUUUGCUAUUUUGAAUUUGCUGGUAUGUAUGUGUGUAUUCUGUUUUAAUAUAUAUAUAUAUAUUCUGUUUUAUGCUUAGAAGUAUUCCAUUUAAACCCCCGACUUGCAGGUAUGGUUUGCUAGUCAAAGAAAUAUCAAUUUUCUAGGAAAAAUUCCUCAUUUUAGUUGCUGAUUGCACGUUCAAUUUCGUUCUUAGAAUAUUCGUUCUCAUUAAAAUGAUGCACGCACUGAUGUUUUGAAUCAUAUCAGAGAAUCAUUUGUAUUUAUUGAGAGUCAAUUACAACUGAUGUAGCAGGAUUUUAGGUCAUAUGAGAACAAGCAUGUAGGAAAAAAUUCAUCUAGAAAAUUAGUGCAGCCGCACUUUCAAUCGAAUUGCUAUUAUGAACAACAAUUCAUGAGUAAAUCGUUGUUCAAACUACAGGUAGCUUAUACAAACUUAAAUGGCUUUUGAGUAGAAGCAAUGUCAACGCUAGGAAUUCAAUACAAAAGCAGUCAAGUUCAAGUAGUAAUAUGAUUUAAAAAACUCUCGAUAAGAUAACAAGUAUUAAAUUUUUAAAAUUUCAUUGAAAUAUUUUCAUACAAUCAAUUUAAUUGCGGCCGUCUUCCAAAUGUUUUCAUAUUUUAAAUUGUUGAAUCAUAAUCAACCUCUUUAUCAGCACCACAAAAAAUAUCAUUUCUAAUGCAAACAACUAGGUUAUUGCUUAUCAUUGUCUAAUAGAGCAUAUUAGCAGCUAUCAUAAAAAUAAAAAAAAAAAUUAUUGUCUGAUUUUAAGAUACUUUCAAGUUUGACCCCCUACCUCAAUUGUCAGAGAGGGGAAAAAAAGAGUAAAUAACAUGAAAAGAAAGUAUAUGAAGUCAAAAAAAAGGUUGGGAAUAAGUAAUAUACAAAUGUAAGGCUGCUUCGAUCACAUUUGAAGUUAAUGACAAGCAUAGCUCUUCAUAUUUAAGUAAAUAUAAAAUAGAAUAUUAGCUGUUGAAUAGAUUAUAAGCAUAGAUCUUGACUUUUGAAUUUAAUUACAGAAAUUUUGGUGGAUUGGUGAACAGAAGAAAUCCAUUCGUUCCACCAAUUACAUUGAGGAUUUUAAUGAAUCCCAAUCUCAGGUAACAUGUUAAUGCCAACAGUACUGGCAAGAUAUCAAAUGCGGGAGAUUCGAGACUAUUAGCUUUAAGAGAACCAAUAGAGACUGACAAGUUAGAAAUAACUUGCUAAGUUGAGAAGUACGACUGACAAAAUGAAUAUAGUGGGAAAAUCAAGAUAAGCUAAUAGUUUUCUGUUUCUGCAUCUCUCUUACCGUCUCUGUUAUAUUUGCUUUUAACAACUCAAAUAUUUAGGAUUUAUUUACCAAUUGUUAUUCUACGUCACAAAUACUCUGUUUUUUUUUUCUUUUUUCUUUAAUCGCUCUGUUUUAUACUUUUGACAUAUCUUUUAGGUCUUUAGUCUACCAAAUAAUCAUAAAUAAAGCAUAUAAAAUGUAUUUCUAAUUUCAGAAGGCAUCUAGGACUUUAUUCUCUGCUUUACUUCUAAAUUAAUUAGCCAAAGGAAGUUUGGCUUUCAGCAGAGCACUUUAAAAAGAAAAUGAGAAAUGAGUCAUCUUUAACUAUUAUGCUCAUCCUUAAUGUCUCCACGUUAACAAUUGUAAGGAAGUGAGGACUGUAAAUUUACUUUCUGUCUAUUUAUUCUUUUGAGAAUCGUUUGUAUUUAUUGAGAGUCAACAUACAUACACUUUGUAGUAUAGCCCAGAGAUCUGCGAUCCACUCCCACCAAUACUCGGAGAGAUAUCUAAUGCUAUCCAGAUUCAUAAAAAUGAGCCUCAUUAAAAGCCUAGUGGCGAUAUGAGUUUUUUUCCUCAAGAAAUGUUUCUGUAAAUUGCUUAAAUAUUGGUGGGGAUGCAUAAUUGUAACCCAGUUGAUUAAUUUCUAACACAACUGAUGUAGCAGGAUUUUGGGUCAUACGAGAACAAGCAUGUAGGAAAAACUUCAUCUAGAAAAUUAGUGCAGCCGCACUUUCAAUCAAAUUGCUAUUAUGAACAAGUAUUAAAUUUUUAAAAUUUCAUUGAAAUAUUUUCAUACAAUCAAUUUAAUUGCGGCCGUCUUCCAAAUGUUUUCAUAUUUUAAAUUGUUGAAUCAUAAUCAACCUCUUUAUCAGCACCACAAAAAAUAUCAUUUCUAAUGCAAACAACUAGGUUAUUGCUUAUCAUUGUCUAAUAGAGCAUAUUAGCAGCUAUCAUAAAAAUAAAAAAAAAAAUUAUUGUCUGAUUUUAAGAUACUUUCAAGUUUGACCCCCUACCUCAAUUGUCAGAGAGGGGAAAAAAAGAGUAAAUAACAUGAAAAGAAAGUAUAUGAAGUCAAAAAAAAGGUUGGGAAUAAGUAAUAUACAAAUGUAAGGCUGCUUCGAUCACAUUUGAAGUUAAUGACAAGCAUAGCUCUUCAUAUUUAAGUAAAUAUAAAAUAGAAUAUUAGCUGUUGAAUAGAUUAUAAGCAUAGAUCUUGACUUUUGAAUUUAAUUACAGAAAUUUUGGUGGAUUGGUGAACAGAAGAAAUCCAUUCGUUCCACCAAUUACAUUGAGGAUUUUAAUGAAUCCCAAUCUCAGGUAACAUGUUAAUGCCAACAGUACUGGCAAGAUAUCAAAUGCGGGAGAUUCGAGACUAUUAGCUUUAAGAGAACCAAUAGAGACUGACAAGUUAGAAAUAACUUGCUAAGUUGAGAAGUACGACUGACAAAAUGAAUAUAGUGGGAAAAUCAAGAUAAGCUAAUAGUUUUCUGUUUCUGCAUCUCUCUUACCGUCUCUGUUAUAUUUGCUUUUAACAACUCAAAUAUUUAGGAUUUAUUUACCAAUUGUUAUUCUACGUCACAAAUACUCUGUUUUUUUUUUCUUUUUUCUUUAAUCGCUCUGUUUUAUACUUUUGACAUAUCUUUUAGGUCUUUAGUCUACCAAAUAAUCAUAAAUAAAGCAUAUAAAAUGUAUUUCUAAUUUCAGAAGGCAUCUAGGACUUUAUUCUCUGCUUUACUUCUAAAUUAAUUAGCCAAAGGAAGUUUGGCUUUCAGCAGAGCACUUUAAAAAGAAAAUGAGAAAUGAGUCAUCUUUAACUAUUAUGCUCAUCCUUAAUGUCUCCACGUUAACAAUUGUAAGGAAGUGAGGACUGUAAAUUUACUUUCUGUCUAUUUAUUCUUUUGGCAUAUGUGCACGAAUAUAUAUGUCAGGAAAUUGAAUUGUAUGAUUUUCACGAUGACUCUUAAAUGCACGCAUCCAUAUCUUUCUAUUUUCAAAGAUGGUAAUGGAAAACUGUGUUACUCUCUCUUAACAUUACACUAAUUCUAAAAUACCUAAAAUGUAUAAAUAUAUCUAAUAUAGACUUACUAAGAAAUCAUGUGAGACAUUAAGGAUAUGUUUGGUACCUUUUUGGCAAACUGUUUUUCGUUUUACAAACAAAAAAUACAAAAUUGAAUAGUUCUUGGUUUUCCCUUUUUUUUCAUUAAGUUAGAGAACGUUAAAUUGACGUUUCUCUUAUCUUAUUUCUCAUCGGAUUCCCUCAAAAGUAAAAUUAAUUAUCGGAAAAAAAGACACUUAUACCUCUAGGAUUUAGACAAAUUGUCAUGCAGACCCUCAAAUUUUUAAAAAGAAAUGCCAAAAUUUUUUUUUUAACAGAUGGGGGCUGGAGCAAUGCCAAAACUUGAAAGCUUAAUUGUCAACCCAUGUCUGCUGUACGGCCAAGGCGGAUGUACGGUACAGCAUAAACAAAAUAUCUUCCUAUUAAUAAUAUUAAAAUUAUUUGUAUAAUAUUCAAAAUAAUUUAAACUUUAAUUGAUUUAUUGUAAUAUUAUGUUUCCAUUUAUUAUUAAAAUUACUUUAAUAUGAUAAAAUAUGUAUAACAGAUUGUAAAAUAUAAAAACAGUAUCUUGCUUGUCAACAAAUUUUUUUUUUUUACUCGAAAGCAAAAAUAAAAUUAUGCCAAUAUCAAUUCUUUGACAGAACAACCUUAGCUUUCUGAUGUUUAAUACUACUCUUUCUAAGCCCAAAAAUUCUAAAAUUUUUAAUUAAUUCUGUUACUGGGAUUGCGGCAGUAAUACCAUUGAAGGCAUUUUGAUAUUAAUUUUUUUUAAAGAAAAAUUCUUUAAAUUAAAAAAAGAAACAAUUGAAGAAAUCUGUUCUUCGAGAUUACCUAACAAACAAGAAGUACUUUAUUGUGCUUGAUGAUGUCUUCGAUGACAGUGAGUUAUGGGAUGAUCUGGAAGAACUUCUUCCUAAUAAUCAGAAUGGAAGCAGAGUAUUGAUAUUGGUUGCUGAUCUCGACCUCCUUGCGUCAUUGGAAAUGGAAAACGGAGAGAAGAUUCGGCUAAAUUCAGUGCUCGUUGGAGGACCAUUGAUCAGAUUAAAGCAUGAAGCCUGGCAAUUUUUCAUCCUACACUACGGAAGUGCGCCAUUAGAAAAUUUAUGGAUGAAAAAGUGGUUUUGACAUUUUGAGUCGAACUUGUUCUGUGUGGGAGUUAUCUUUUCACUUGAAAGCCUGCGGCAUCUAUCUGUGUGUCUUCCCUCCAAGCAUUAAGAUAUCUACCAGGCAGUUACGUCAGUUGUGGAUAGCUGAAGGUUUCAUACAAUACAACAGUGAAGAAACUGCCGAACACUACUUGAAAGAACUAAUCCAUCGCGGCUUCUUUCAAGUGAGUAAGAGAAGAGCCGGAGGCACAAUUAAAGCGUGUUAUGUUCCAAGUCUUGUAUAUUAUUCAUUGUUGUUGGUGGCAGAGAAGACGAGAUUUGUCUUGAUGCCUGACAAGGAAGAGGAAUCUUUGGCAAAUGUUAAACGGUGCUUCAUUUUGGAAGAUCUGAUUGAGUUCAUUUUUUUAGAACAGUCUGGCAUGUAUCUCCAGUCUUUUCUAAAUCACAGUUCAGAAAGCGAUCAUCUCGCUCUGAUAGAUUGCGAGAAUUUUUGUGAAAAGUUCAAAUACCUUCGGUUACUGAACUUGGGUUAUGCAGUUCUCGACCAAUUUCCACUCGGAUUAGAAAAUUUAAUCCUUUUGAAGCAUUUGAAAUUGAAUAUCCCUUCGCUCAAAUGCCUUCCUUCGCUGCUGUGCACUAUUUUAAACCUUCAAACACUAGAAAUGCCAUCUAGCUACGUAGAUCACUCGCUGGAGGAUAUUUGGAUGAUGCAAAAACUCAUGCAUCUAAACUUUGGUUCCAUCACUCUUCCCGCACCUCCAAAAAAUUAUUCUAGCUCUCUGAAAAAUCUCAUUUUCAUAUCAGCUUUAAACCCUAGUAGUUUUACUCCUGAUAUAUUGCGCAGACUACCUAAUGUUCAAACACUUCGGAUAUCUGGAGAUUUGAGUUGCUAUCACUCUGGGGUUUCCAAUAGCCUAUUGGGACUCCACAAACUUGAAUGCUUGAAGCUGGUGAAUGAGAGCAAGCUCUCACGGGUUGUCCUGUCUAAAUACCAGUUUCCUUUAAGUCUAAGCCAUCUGAGCUUAUCAAAUACUGAGCUAAUGCAGGAUCCCAUGCCAAUUAAUAUAUCAAGACUAGUUUGAAAAUCUACUUCUACUAAUAAUAAUAUUUAAGGAGAAAUUAGCUGUCACGUGGCUGCUGUGGAGUCCUAUUCAUCAGGGUAGUUGUUGUUAUAGUCAAAAUAAAUAUUUAGUUUUUAUUUACUUGUAGAAGUGGUCCACUACGUCAGCACUUGUUGCUAUCAUUUAGCUGUGUCUUUGUUAUUUUCUGUUCAAGUCUUUAUAUAAAUUCAUAGUCCAAAGAUUAAAAAAAAAAAAAAAAAAUUCAUAGUCCAAAGAUAAAAAAAAAAAAAAAAAAAGCAACAGAUUAAUUUUCUUCAAAGUUCAUCUAGUAUUGAAGGCCGUGGUCUUCCUCAAAAUAGACCAAGUUCAGUUGUUCGUUCUUUAUUUAGUUGACUACUACAAUAGGGAAACAAAAGAAAAUGAUCCUGAAAGGGCUUGAUUUGUUAUACAUACCAAUUACAAGGUCAGUUAUGUAGGCAUGUAACAAAAUAGUAUCAGAGCAAGGCAUGUAGGAAUCAUGAUUGAAAAGCUUAGAAACCGAAGUAAGCUCCUUGCAGCUUAAUUUAUAGUCAAAUUCAAAUCUUGAACAAUGGUCAUGAACGAAAGAAUAUCAUGAAAUGUGAUAAUCCAAACGAAGGUGCGAAUGGAUAUUGGUAUUAUGGGCUCUGCUUAGACUAUUUACACAUUUAAACAAUAAUCAUCACUAUUUUCGACCACUAUAUCUUCCGAAAAUAAUUUUUGCCAAAAGUCACCAUAUUUGUGAAUUAAAUCUAUUUUAAAAAUAGAUUUAAUCACCAUCAAUUUUGUCACGGUAAGAUAAAGUAGGGAUAGCUAAUAUAUAUAUUCUUUCUAAAAGUCAUGACUUUUCUCUAAACAUUAAUCAUAUUUUUUUUGAGAAAAGUGAGUAAUAAUAAUAUCGUCAGGAGUUUAGAUAAUGCUAUAUGAUCAACUGAUUUAAAAAAAAUACAAUUGAUAUAGCAGCGUCCUAGGUCAUAUGAGGACAAACAUGUAGGAAAGUUCAUCUAGAAAAUUAGUGCAUCCGCAGUUUCAAUCAAAUUGCUAUAUUGAGCAACAAUUAAUGAAUAAAUUUGUUAUUCAACCUAUAUGUAACUAACACAAAUUUUAAUGACCUUCACAUAGCAGCAGUGGAAGUACCCAAUUUUUGAGACUUCACUGAAAUAUUUUCAUUCAAUCAAUUUACAACCAUCUUCCAUAUGCUUUCAUAUUUUAAAAUGUUAAAUGUUAAUCUCACUAUCAACACCACAAAAAAUAUAUCAUUUUUAAUGAAGACAAUUAGGUUAUCAUUUCUAAUAGAGCAUCUUGAGCAGUUAGCUUAAAAAAAUUAAGCAAACUAUUGUAUGAUUUUUAAGAUAUUUUAAGUAAUUUUAUCAACUAUAAAAUCAUCACCUAGUUCAUUAUAAGUGACACAACAUUGGUCAAUGACACAUAACAUUGGAAUUUAAGUUGGUACUCAAUUGUUGGGAUCUCUAAUAUUAUUGGACAUGAUUUAAUGAUCAAAUUCAAAUUUUGCACCGGUGGCCAUGAAUGAAAGAAUAUCAUGAAAGGUGUUAAGAUGCACAUGGAUAUUGGUAUUAGGGAUUAUGUUUAGGAUAUCAAUUAUUCAUACAGAUUUACUCUACAAAAAAUCAUUCCAAAUUUCAUAAUUAUUUUCCCUCUUACUUAUUUCCGAAGUUAUUUUCUUCCUCUUCCUAACGUUUCUCUAAUUCUGAAUCCCUUAACGAUGAGGGGAAAAAGAUUAAGAAAGUCAAACUGAUUAAAGCUAAAUAAAUAAAUAUUAGAAUCCAAAUUUUCCGUGCCCAAAUUCCGUUGAAUAUGAAAUAUAUAAAAUUAGCAAAUUGACUACAUCAAAAAAUUAAAAAAAUCAAAAUUCAUCAUGUAAAAAUCUUAUUUAACUCCUAAUUUCAUUACAAAAUCGUUCACAAGUUAAUUGAUAUCAGUAUUAGGUGAUCAAAGCUCAAGCAUUUUUAAUAAGCAAAGCUCAAAAGAAUUUCAUAAGAAAUCACUUACCAAUGAAAAUCAAUGCAGAGAAACAAUUGAGCUAUUUUCCUAGAGGGUAUAACGAUGAUGACAAUGAGUAGAAUCACUUAAUUAACGUAUUGAAAUAGCAACUUAGUUCAGAUCUACAAUGCCACUUGCUAUAUGAAAACGUAUAUAAUCAUAAUUAAUUAGCGAAAUGUCAAGUUCUAUUUUGACUGUCUUGCUUGGGUCAGGGUUUCUGUAUUCUACCAUUUUGGCAAGAUAUUGGAUGGCAUAAUCAAGUCUGUGAUGCCUCCAUCUCAGGUUAGUGUAAUUAUCGGUGAAGAUUAUAAUACAUAUUCAAUUAUAACAAACGAUUAUUAAAUUACUCCCAUCGAAAGGAUUAGGUUUGUCAUUAUUGACAAUUAAAUUAACAAGAUUCUCAUUUUCUCUCACCGCAUGCAUUGCAAGUUGAAAAGAACAUUGACUUGAGAAAAUACUCUGAUGAUUAAAUUACUCCCAAUAAUCAGAAUGGAAGCAGAGUAUUGAUAUUGGUCACUGAUCCACACCUCCUUACGCUGUCGGAAAUGGAAAACGGAGAGAAGAUUCGGCUUGAUUCAGUGAAAGAUGUUAAGAAAAGAACAAAUGUUCAUCAAUUUAGACAAUAUAAUCAAACAACUAAAAUUUUUUUAGUGAAAUUUCUAUUUAUAAUACCUCUACUAACAAAAUAUCUACUUAAAUAAGUUCUACUAAGCUAUAUUAUUAUGAACCGUAUCGAUUAAAGCAAAUACCAUUGACUUGAGAAAGCACUUUUUGUGUUUCUUUAUAAGUGUGAACAUGUACCAAACAAACUCUUUAUAAAACCAAAAAAGUCUCUUGUUCUGUGUUGGAGUUACCUUUUCACUUGAAAGUCUGCUGCAUUUAUUUGUGUGUUUUCCCUCCAAGUAUUGAGAUAUCUACUAGGCAAUUAUAUCAGUUGUGGGAAGCUGAAGGCUUCAUACCAUACAACAGUGAGGAAACUGCCGAACAUCACUUAAAAGAACUAAUCCAUCGCGGCUUCAUUCAAGUGAGUAAGAGAAGCGCCGGAGGCACGAUUAAAGCGUGUUAUGUUCCAAGUUUUGUAUAUUAUUCAUUGGCUUUGGUGGCAGAGAAGACGGGAUUUGUCCGGACGCCUGACUUCGAAGAGGAAUCAAAUCACAGUUCAGAAAGCGAUCGUCUCGCUCGGAUAGAUUGCGAGAAUUUUUGUAAAAAGUUCAAAUACCUUCGGGUAUUGGACUUGGGUUCUGCAGUUCUCGACCAAUUUCCACCCGGAUUAGAAAAUUUAUUCCUUUUAAAGUAUUUGAAAUUGAAUAUCCCUUCGCUCAAAUGCCUUCCUUCGCAGCUAUGCACCCUUUUAAACCUUCAAACACUAGAAAUGCCAUCUAGCUACAUAGAUCAGUCACCAGAGGAUAUUUGGAUGAUGCAAAAACUCAUGCAUCUAAACUUCGGUUCCAUCACUCUGCCUGCACCGCCAACAAAUUAUUCCAGCUCUUUGAAGAAUCUCAUUUUCGUAUCAGCCUUACACCCUAUUAGUUGCACUCCAGAUAUAUUGGGCAGAUUACCAAAUAUUCAAACUCUUAGAAUAUCUGGAGAUUUGAGCUAUUAUCAAUCUAGGGUUUCCAAAAGCCUAUGCAAACUACAAAAACUUGAAUGGUUGAAGCUGGUGAAUGAAAGCAAGCCCUCACGAAUGGUCCUGUCUGAAUACCAGUUUCCUCCAAGUCUGACCCAUCUGAGCUUAUCAAAUACUGAGCUAAAGGAGGAUCCCAUGCCAACGCUAGAAAAGCUUCCAUACGUUCAAGUGCUGAAACUGAAGCAGAACUCCUAUUUAGGAAGAAAGCUGGCCUGCGUUGGCUCUGGUGGCUUUCCGGAACUUAAGGUUUUGCACCUGAAAUCAAUGUAUUGGCUAGAUGAGUGGACGAUGGGGGCUGGAGCAAUGCCAAAACUUGAAAGCUUAAUUGUCGACCCAUGUGCUUACUUGAGAAAGCUUCCAGAAGAGCUGUGGUGCAUACAGAGCUUGCGCAAAUUGGAUUUACAUUGGCCUCAGACAGAGUUGAGACAGAGGCUACGGACUUUCAAGGAUAUGGAGUGGCGGUAUGACAUCCAGUUAUAUCCUUAUGGAAUCUGAUGGAUUGAAUUGGGUGAGUUUUAAUCUUAUCAGACAACUCAUUCUUUUAUAUGCAAUUUUUUUUUAUGUUUAUCGUAAAACCUACAAGGAGGUCAUAAAAAUGCCAAACUAAUUGAGGUUGCUUCUGAUGUCAAAAUUACGUCUCAACAUAGACUCAGUUUGACUGGCAAAACAGAGUGGGAUAGCCACACAUUGCAGCAGAGAAACAAAGAAAGAUCCCUUUAUAUAUAUCUAAUAAGAACUGUAAAAAGCAGAUUUUAAUUUGUGAUUCUUAUUUCCCUUUACUUAUGUAGGCAAAACUGGAGAGGGAAACAACACCAGCUGGACUUUCAAUUUCAUGAGACGGGGCAUUGUUCUGUUUAGCAGAUUUCAAGGAUUUGCUUUAAUAUGCCAUGGUUGCAAUAUUGUCUACAAACUUGAAUAGUUGCGCUCCUUUUUCUAUUUUGAAUUUGCCGGUAUGUUUGUAGGGGCGUGUGCGUGUGUUUUGAGUUUUGAUUAAUGUAUUAUGCUUCGAUGUACUCCAUUUAAGCCCCGGACUUGCCGGUAUGGUUUGGAUAGCUUUGGACUUGCAUGGUUUGGUUGUUAGAGAAAUGGUUUGCUAGUUAUAGAAAUAUCAAUCUUACUAGGCAAACUACCUCAUGCGUGUACGUUUCUGGCUUCAUUUUAGUUGCUGAUUGCACCUUCAAUUACAUUAGAGUAUAUGGAGUUUGGCCGUACAGCAGCUCUUUCUAAGCCCAAAAAUUCUAAAAUUUUUAAUUAAUUCUGUUACUGGGAUUGCGGCAGUAAUACCAUUGAAGGCAUUUUGAUAUUAAUUUUUUUUAAAGAAAAAUUCUUUAAAUUAAAAAAAGAAACAAUUGAAGAAAUCUGUUCUUCGAGAUUACCUAACAAACAAGAAGUACUUUAUUGUGCUUGAUGAUGUCUUCGAUGACAGUGAGUUAUGGGAUGAUCUGGAAGAACUUCUUCCUAAUAAUCAGAAUGGAAGCAGAGUAUUGAUAUUGGUUGCUGAUCUCGACCUCCUUGCGUCAUUGGAAAUGGAAAACGGAGAGAAGAUUCGGCUAAAUUCAGUGCUCGUUGGAGGACCAUUGAUCAGAUUAAAGCAUGAAGCCUGGCAAUUUUUCAUCCUACACUACGGAAGUUAGGAAAACUACCUCAUGCGUGUACGUUUCUGGCUUCAUUUUAGUUGCUGAUUGCACCUUCAAUUACAUUAGAGUAUAUGGAGUAAAAAAAAAAGUUAAAUUAUUGGCUGAUUUUUAAGAUACUUUCAAGUUUGGCCCAUACCUCAAUUGUCAGAAAGUAUAUGGAGUAAAAAAAAAAAGGUUGGGUGUAAAUAAGUGAUAUACAGAUGUAAGGCUUCUUUGAUCACAUUUGAAGUUAAUUACAAGCACAUCUCUUGAUAUUUAAGUAAAUAAAAAAAUAGAAUAUUGGCUGUUGAAUAGAUAAUAAGCAUAGAUCUUGACUUUUGAAUUUAAUUACAAAAAUUUUGGUGAACAGAAGAAAUCCAUUCGUUCCACCGAUUACAUUGAGGAUUUUAAUGAAUCCCAAUCUUAGGUAACAUGCUAAUGCUAACAGUAAUGGCAAGAUAUCAAAUGCCGGAGAUAAGAGACUAUUAGCUUUAAGCGAACCAACAGAGAUUGACAAGUUAGAAAUAACUUGCUAAGUUGACUGACAAAUAAUAUGAUUAUCCUAAAUAAAUUAGGUUUUAAUUUAACAAGUUUUCAUUUACAAAUGCAUUUUAAUCCAAUGAUUUAUCACAAUGUCCCACCAAAUUGAACAAAGAAAGAACGAUAUAAUACAAUUACAAGUUUCCUAAUUAAGCCAUAUGAUUAUGAAUUAAAGCGAAUACUAUUGACUUGACGAACCACUUUUUGUGUUUCUUUAUAAGUACGUAUUGUUAGAAAAACAAACACAGUGAGUUGUCAAUUUAAAUUGUAGUUAAUUGAAACAACAAUGUAAAUCAGCAAUCGGAAACAACAAAUGAAGAACAGAAGAGAAAUGAAACGGAAUAAGAAACAUAAACCCGAGGCCUGCACAAGGCAGUUUUUUUAAAACAGAUUUACCACCUCUUCGGAGUGCUUAAGGUCUGCUGGUAUCUGUUUCCCAGGAUACAACGGGUAAGAAUUUCCAGUCAAGCACAGGCUGGAAAUUCCGGCGAACCACAACAGGUAACUCGAUCAGAGAAAGACGAAAGAGGAUGAAGGAAAAACAAGUGUGCUUUGUGCUGGUUUUUUCAAGUGUACAAAAAUAGAAGAGGAGAUGCCUUUUUAUAAUCAUGUGAGGAUGUAACAGCUGAUGUGUAUUGAAUUUCCGAAUUCAAUAUGUUUUAUUUAAUUGCUAUAACAGCCAAAUCAAUUCAAUGAAUUGAUUUCCAAAUUGAAUUAAAAUAAACGUGAAUAACAACUAAAAAUAAUUGUAAAAACUAUUACACAUUCUUUGAAUUCAAAACAUGAAACUGUUACAAUAAAAAUUCAAAAGGAAAUUAAAAACGUGCCAAGCUUGCAUGGAUGAUUUUGAGCCGACAUUCGCGUACGCAGGACGCACGGGUUCAACCAAAUUGGUCUUGGAUUUGCACUCCCCCUGCGCACGCGCGUGUGGAGAGAGCCUCUAUCAUUAUAAUUCUUACUCAUGCAUGGUUAAGUGUUUAUAUAUAAACACUAAUUCCUAGGCUUCUUUUUCUCAUGUGGGAUAAGCCUCAUUUCCUUUCAAAUUUCCAACUUUAAGGGUGAACUUUGAGAGACAAUUUCUCAUUCACCCAAGCACCAUUUUGAGAAAAUAAGAUUAUACUAUUGAAGUAUCAACGGAGUAAAAUCCGAACCUCACAAUAUUUUCCACUUUCGUUAAGUGGGACCCACUCAAAAUGUGCCCUAAAAAUAGCAUGUUAUGCUAUUUUUUCAACAAUCCCCCACAUGAAUGAAAAUUGGCAGUAAAAAUAGGAAAACCGCUAAAUUUUGACAUCAAAACCAUUUUUGACUUUUAAUGAUCGAGUUUAUUGGAUUGAUACCUAGCACAGGAUAGGUAAGUGUUACCCUUUGAACCUUCCCUUGUAAUAGUAUAAUUACUUUACUAGCUGAUCAGUAGACGCGAUGUCUUUGAACUGUUCUACCAUUAGUGUAAACGAUCAUAUACUACACAUAGGUAUUUCUCCUAACAUUGUUGAGUUCUCAUGAUUAUGUUCGUUUUGGCCUUGAACAUCUGCUUGGUUCUGCAAGAGUUUCUAAGAGCUGAACCCUUUAUAGCUCCCUUUGAAGCAGCCCCACUUCUCUCUCACAUAGGUGAUAUCUUAAUUAAGAGUAACCCGCAUUCCUCUGCUCGAAUUUUCGACGCAUAAGAAUCAUUAAGAGCCUAGCUCAACCUUAUCCCCCACGGGCAUCACUGUUUCAUCAUAGGAAUGGUCAAUGAGGUAAUCCUCUCAAGAGAAUGACCCCCACAGUGAUCCAUCUUUAGUCUUUAACAAAUAGGUUGUCCAAUUGAACCUAGAUCUUGGGAUCUCCAGUCUACUAGCUUGGGUUUUCCUUCGUUAUUGACUAAUUAAUCUAUGGGUUUUAAUCUCAUUCCCUUCGAUGAUUUUUCUACUAGCUCUCUAUUUAACCCUUUGGUUAGCGGAUCCGCAAUGCUAUCCUUUGACCUCACAUAGUCAAUAGAAAUAACUCCAGUAGAAAUAAGUUGUCUAAUGGUAUUAUGCCUACGACGUAUGUGUCUAGACUUACCAUUAUACAUAUUGCUUUGUGCCCUACCGAUAGCUGAUUGACUAUCACAAUGUAUACAAAUCGUAGGCACAGGCUUUGGCCACUUUGGAAUACCUUCUAAAAAAUUGCGUAGCCAUUCUGCUUCUUCACCACAUUUAUCUAAUGCAAUGAAUUCAGAUUCCAUUGUAGAUCUAGCAAUUACUGCCUGUUUAGAAGAUCUCCAUGAUACAGCUGCACCUGCUAGUGUAAACACAUAGUCGCUAGUAGAUUUUGAAUCUUUUACAUCUGAUAUCCAGUUAGCAUCACUAAAUCCUUCUAAUACUUCUGGAUACUUAGUAUAGUGCAGUCCAUAAUUACGAGUAUAUCGAAGAUACCUAAAUACACUUACGAUAGCUUUCCAGUGAUCAGUUCCUGGAUUACUCGUAUAUUUACUAAGUUUGGUUACUAUAUAGGCUAGGUUUGGUCUGGUACAAUUUGUUAAAUACAUCAGACUACCUAUUAUUCUAGCAUAUUCAACUUGAGAAAUACCUUCUUCUCUGUUUUUCGAUAGAUGAAUACUAGUAUCUAAUGGAGUUUUAGACAUAGUAUUAUCAUCUUUAUUAAAUUUCCCAAGAAUUUUAUCUACAUAAUGAGUUUGACUUAAAAUAAGUCCAUUAGAAGCCCUUGAGAUUUUAAUUCCCAAAAUGACAUCUGUAAGACCCAUGUCUUUCAUGUCAAACUUAGACUUCAACAUAUUCUUGGUAGAUUUAAUCAUGUCAUCAUCACUCCCAACAAUGAGCAUGUCAUCAACAUAUAAACAUAAAAUGACAUAUCCAUUUUCUGUUUCUUUGACAUAAACACAUUUAUCACACUUGUUGAUCUUAAAGCCACUUGUGAUCAUCAUAUGAUCAAAUUUCUCAUGCCACUGUUUCGGUGCUUGCUUCAAGCCAUAUAAUGACUUUACCAAUUUACAAACUUUCUUUUCUUGUCCUGGAGCUAGAAAACCUUUAGGUUGCUCCAUGUAGAUUUCUUCAUCUAAAUCUCCAUUUAGAAAAGCCGUCUUUACAUCCAUUUGAUGUAUCUCGAGAUUGCGUAAAGCUGCAAUUGCUAUUAUCAUCUGUAUGGAAUUUAUUCUCGCAACAGAAGAAUAAGUAUCAAAGUAAUCAAGGCCUUCUCGUUGCCUAUAACCUUUAAUUACAAGCCUAGCCUUGUACUUAUCGAUUGAUCCAUCGGGUUUCAUUUUCCUUUUGAAAAUCCACUUAUACCCCAAAGGUUUACAUCCUGGAGGAAGAUCUACUAGCUCCCAAGUAUGAUUUUGUAAAAUGGAUUCAACUUCACUGUUAAUGGCUUCUUUCCAUAAAGUGCCUUCAGCUGAAGUUAUAACCUCUUUGAAGUUUUAAGGUUCACUUUCUAGCAAAUACGUCAGAAAGUCUUGACCAAAAGACUUUUCUAUUCUAGCUCUUUUGCUACGUCUAACCUCAAUUUCUUGUUCUUUUUCUUCUUCUGGUGCUUGAUCAUUUUCAAGUGUUGUUUCAUGAAAUUGUCGCAAUUCUCUCGAUUCUACUCUAGAAUUACAAGGAAACACAUGUUCAAAAAACGAUGCAUUUCUUGAUUCUAUUAUCGUAUUUUUGUGGACAUCUGGAACUUUAGACUCAUGCACCAAAAAUCUAUAUGCACUACUGUUUUGUGCAUAACCAAUGAAAAUGCAGUCAACAGUUUUUUGUCCUAUUUUCACUUUUUUAUUUGAAGGAACCACUACUUUAGCAAGAUACCCCCACACUCGUAAGAAUUUAUAUGAAGGUGAUCUACCUUUCCAUAGCUCAUACGGAGUUUUAUCUUCUUGCUUUCGGGGUAUCUUAUUUAAUAAAUAAUUAGCUGACAAAACAGCUUCUCCCCACAUAUUCUGGGGUAACCCAGAACUUAUCAACAUUGCAUUCAUCAUUUCCUUUAAAGUUCGAUUCUUUCGUUCUGCAAUCCCAUUAGAUUGAGGUGAAUAUGGAGUCGUGACUUGAUGUAUGAUUCCAUUUUGUUCACCUGCUGUACGGCCAAGGCGGAUGUACGGUACAGCAGAAAUUUUCUUUUAUGUGGGUGUUNNNNNNNNNNNNNNNNNNNNNNNNNNNNNNNNNNNNNNNNNNNNNNNNNNNNNNNNNNNNNNNNNNNNNNNNNCAAAGCUUCAUCUUUACUUUUCAAUAAAUAUACAUAGCAAUAUUUUGUGCAACCAUCUAUAAAGGUAAUAAAAUAUUUAUUACCACCUCUUGUUUGAAUGGAUUUAAAGUCACAAACAUCACUAUGUAUUAAAUCAAGUGGUUCGGUGUUUCUUUUAAUUAUUUGGAAAAAUGACCUAGUUAGUUUUGCCUCAACACAAGUUUCACACUUAUGUUUCAAAUCAAUUUGGAAAUUGGGAAUAUGCUUCAUGUUAAUUAAUUUACGCAAAGAAUUAAAAUUAACAUGCCCUAAUCUACUAUGCCAAAGAUUAGAAGACUCAAGCAAACAAGCAGAAGAUGUAGCUUUAUUAUUAAUUGUUGGUUUCAGAGUCAUUACAUUGAGCUUAAGUAGCCCAUCAUUAACAUAACCCUUUCCCACAUACAUCCCAUUUUUAGACAAAACUACCCUAUCCGACUCAAACACCAUUCGGAAACCGUGUUUGCUCAGCAGCGAUCCAGACACCAAGUUCUUCUGAAUUUCUAGCACAUAAAGCACAUUGUUCAGAGUCAGUUCUUUCCCUGAUGUCAUCUUCAAAAUCACCUUCCCUUGACCCUCAAUCUCAGACGUAACUGAAUUCCCCAUGAAUAGCUUCUCUUCAUUGCUAACUGGUUCAAAUGAAGUGAACAACCCUUUGUCCGAGCAAACAUGUCUGGUUGCUCCUGUAUCUAUCCACCAUUCUCUUGGAUUAGAGCCAACCAGAUUCACUUCUGAAAUCACUGUAGAGAGGUUUAUGUCUGAAACAUGUUGAGUGAUGUUUUCCACCACAUUCGCCUCUCGCUUCUUUUUAGGCAACCUGCAAUCCGAAGCCUUGUGACCCAUCUUAUCACAAUUAUAACAUUUUCCUUGAAACUUUGUUUGUUUCUUGGAAAUUCCUCCUUUCGGGCCCAAUUUUUUAUUUUUAUUUUUAGGUCCAUGUUCAACAAAAUUUGCCUUUGCCAUAAAAAUAGCCCCUCUUCUUUCUGCAUUUCUGUUGUCUUCCUCAAUUCUGAGCUUAAUAACCAUCCCUUCAAUAUUCAUCUCCUUUCGUUUAUGCUUCAAAUAGCUCUUGAAAUCUUUCCAAGCAGGAGGUAAUUUUUCAAUAAUUGCGGUAACUUGAAAAGUUUCACUUAGAUGCAUCCCUUCCGCAAGGAUUUCAGAUAAUAUAAUUUGAAGUUCUUGUACUUGACUUAUUACAGUUUUAGAAUCUACCAUUUUAUAAUCUAGGAAGCGACCAACAACAAACUUUUUGGUACCCACAUCCUCGGUUUUAUAUUUUCGGUCUAAGGAUUCCCAUAGCUCUUUGGCUGUUUUCUUUCCUAUGUAUACAUUAUACAAGGAGUCACUAAGGCCAUUCAUUACAUAAUUUUUACACAAAAAAUCUGAAUGGUGCCAUGCAUCAAUUGCACUUGCAACUUGAAUAUCCGUUUCACCCUCUUUGGGUUUAGAAGCAUCCUCGGUCAAGAACCUCGCAAGGUUCAACGUGGUCAAGUAAAAGAACAUCUUUUGCUGCCAACGUUUGAAAUUUUGGCCAUUGAAUUUUUCAGGCCUUUCCGCAUGAUUGACAGGAAUUGCCACAGAGGCUGGUUCCUUCACAAGAGUUGGUGCAGCAACAGAAGAUGAAACAGGGAUAUACGGAAUAUCAUCAAUGGUUUCAGUUGCCAUCUUAAUGAUAAUAAGGUCUGUUUUAAGAUUGUUAGAAAAACAAACACAGUGAGUUGUCAAUUUAAAUUGCAGUUAAUUGAAACAACAAUGUAAACCAGCAAUCGAAAACAACAAAUGAAGAACAGAAGAGAAGUGAAACGGAAUAAGAAACAUAAACCCGAGGCCUGCACAAGGCAGUUUCCUUAAAACAUAUUUUCCACCUCUUCGGAGUGCUUAAGGUCUGCUGGUAUCUGUUUCCAAGGAUACAACGGGUACGAAUUUCCAGUCAAGCACAGGUUGGAAAUUCCGGCGAACCACAACAGGUAACUCGAUCAGAGAAAGACGAAAGAGGAUGAAGGAAAAACAAGUGUGCUUUGUGCUGGUUUUUUCAAGUGUACAAAAACAAUGAAUUGAUUUCAAAAUUGAAUUAAAAUAAACAUGAAUAACAGCUAAAAAUAAUUGUAAAAGUUGUUACACAUUCUUUGAAUUCAAAACAUGAAACUGUUACAAUAAAAAUUCAAAAGGAAAUUAAAAAUGUGCCAAGCUUACAUGGAUGAUUUUGGGCCGACAUUCGCGUACGCAGGAUGCACACGAGUUCAACCAAAUCGGUCUUGGAUUAUACUAUUGAAGUAUCAACAGAGUAGAAUUCAACAAGUUUUCAUUUACAAAUGCAUUUUAAUCCAAUGAUUUAUCACAAUGUCCCACCAAACUGAACAAAGAAAGAACGAUAUAAUACAAUUACAAGUUUCCUAAUUAAGCUAUAUGAUUAUGAAUUAAAGCGAAUACUAUUGACUUGACGAACCACUUUUUGUGUUUCUUUAUAAGUACGUAUAUGUACCAACAAAAUUCUUCUUAAAACAAAAAAAAAAUCUCUCUUUAAAUUAGUAAAUAUUCAUUUACCAAUAAAUUAAUAAAUUAUUCAUUCAAUAAUAAAUAAAUACUCCUCUAAAAUAAUAUCUUUUCGUAGUCCUAAUAAUAUUAUUUUAUAGAUACUUUCUACAUUUAUUGUGCAAUAAUUAAAAAAAUUUAUAUUUUUUAAAAAUAUAAUUACAAUCCAGAUACAUAUAUAUUUAUAAUACAACUCUGAAAUAUAUCAAGACUAGUUAGAAAAUCUACUUCCACUAAUAAUAUUAUUAAGGAGAAAUUAGCCCUAUUCCACGUUUUUACAAUUUGAUUUAAUAUAAAUUUUGUUCAAGAAAUUUAUCUUUUUUAAGAAAAUAUUUGAUUAACAAAUUAUUAUUAUUAUAGCGAAAAUAAAAAAGCAGCGGCAGAAGAAGGCUCUAACAACAAAAUGAAACAUUUACAUUUUUCAUUUCCCAAAACCCUUCGCUCUCUCACUCAGGACACUCACUGAUGCGCAAGCAAUGGCUCACACUGCCAUCCUCUGCCUCCGCUGGUCAUUACCGGCCAUCGUUGCUCUUUGCCGCUCUCUCUCUGCGGUCGUCCCUGCACUCUCCGCAUCCACUCCUCUCGUAAAUCCCUCCAUUUCAUCGGCAUCGUCAUCACUAAUCUCCUCCUCAUCCUCCUCCAUCAUCCAAUCUCGACUGUGGUUUAUCAACUUCAGGUACAUGUACCUUGAUGUAUGUACCAUCUAAUGCCCUAAAGCAAUUCUAUUAAUCCAUUCAAACAUAAAAAAAAAAUUAUAAUAUAAAAUGGCAAGCUCUCUUUAUUAGAAGAGAAAAUAAAAAUCAAGAAUUUAAGCAUGUCAUUCCUUAAAUCAUUUCCAUCUCUGUCGUUAGUGCAGUGUUACUUACAGGGUCAGGUGUUCUUAAUAAGAUAUUUUCCAAUUGUAAACUGCAUUUAAGACCAAGUUGAAGUAUCUACUAAUUGUCUCCCCUAAACAUAGAAAUCUACUAUGAAUUGUUCUGCUUUUUUACAUGAUGGGCAAGUAUAUGUAGAAACAUGCCUACUUGUUCCUCAACAGAGACUAUACCAUCAGCCUUCAACCCCCAUUUAUACGAAGUAGCUCACAUAAUAAUUCGAAUGUUCUCUUAUCCAUCAUAGUUGAUUCACAUAUUCUAUGUCACUGCCUAAGAUAAUUUCUAGAUAAAUGAGGCGUGUUGCAUGCCUAAUGAAUGUGCGAUUUGCAACUGUAUAUUUUUUGUUUUGUCGACUUUUGUGAUACCAAAGUACAGCAGCCAAUACACACAAACACAAUUGUUGUAAACGUAACUCGUGCAUAAGAGAGAACAAUGUAAUUUCUCUUUCAUCCAUAUCUAGUCAUUGAAGGUAUAUGGUGUGAGCAUAUCAUAUGAAAAUUAAAGUAAGUGAAGUAAAUAUCAACAUAAAGAAUUAUGAUAACUAGACAGAUAAAGAACUCAUUGAGAUACAUUUCAUGUGAACAAGUUAUUAGCUCAGUUCCAAGAAACUUAUAAAGCAACAGUGGCCGUACAGCAGAAAUUAUGAUAUCUAUUUUAAUGUUAUAUUUGUAUUUAUUUUAAAGAUUUUAAAUAAAUCUUUGGAUUAAAAAGAUUUUACAAUUAAAAAAAAUCUUCCUAUCAAUAAUAUUAAAAUUAUUUAUUCAUAAUAUUCAAAAUAAUUGAAAUUUAAAUUUAAAUUUAUUUAUUGUAAUAUUAUGUUUCUAUUUAUUAUUAAAAUUACUUUAAUAUGAUAAAAUAUGCAUCGCAGAUUCUAAAGUAUAAAAAUAUUUUCUUUGCUUGUCAACAAAUGUUUUUUUUCUGAAAACCAAAAUAAAAUUAUGUCAACAUCAAUUCUUCAACACAGCAACAUUUGCUACCCUGCUUUAUGUUUAAUACUACUCUUUCCAUGCCCAAAAAUUCAAAAAUUUUUAAUGGGUCUUGUUACUGGGCUUCCUGCUGUACGGCCAAGGCGGAUGUACGGUACAGCAGUUUUUCAUUUCCCAAAACCCUUCGCUCUCUCACUCAGGACACUCACUGAUGCGCAAGCAAUGGCUCACACUGCCAUCCUCUGCCUCCGCUGGUCAUUACCGGCCAUCGUUGCUCUUUGCCGCUCUCUCUCUGCGGUCGUCCCUGCACUCUCCGCAUCCACUCCUCUCGUAAAUCCCUCCAUUUCAUCGGCAUCGUCAUCACUAAUCUCCUCCUCAUCCUCCUCCAUCAUCCAAUCUCGACUGUGGUUUAUCAACUUCAGGUACAUGUACCUUGAUGUAUGUACCAUCUAAUGCCCUAAAGCAAUUCUAUUAAUCCAUUCAAACAUAAAAAAAAAAUUAUAAUAUAAAAUGGCAAGCUCUCUUUAUUAGAAGAGAAAAUAAAAAUCAAGAAUUUAAGCAUGUCAUUCCUUAAAUCAUUUCCAUCUCUGUCGUUAGUGCAGUGUUACUUACAGGGUCAGGUGUUCUUAAUAAGAUAUUUUCCAAUUGUAAACUGCAUUUAAGACCAAGUUGAAGUAUCUACUAAUUGUCUCCCCUAAACAUAGAAAUCUACUAUGAAUUGUUCUGCUUUUUUACAUGAUGGGCAAGUAUAUGUAGAAACAUGCCUACUUGUUCCUCAACAGAGACUAUACCAUCAGCCUUCAACCCCCAUUUAUACGAAGUAGCUCACAUAAUAAUUCGAAUGUUCUCUUAUCCAUCAUAGUUGAUUCACAUAUUCUAUGUCACUGCCUAAGAUAAUUUCUAGAUAAAUGAGGCGUGUUGCAUGCCUAAUGAAUGUGCUAUUUCCAACUGUAUAUUUUUUGUUUUGUCGACUUUUGUGAUACCAAAGUACAGCAGCCAAUACACACAAACACAAUUGUUGUAAACGUAACUCGUGCAUAAGAGAGAACAAUGUAAUUUCUCUUUCAUCCAUAUCUAGUCAUUGAAGGUAUAUGGUGUGAGCAUAUCAUAUGAAAAUUAAAGUAAGUGAAGUAAAUAUCAACAUAAAGAAUUAUGAUAACUAGACAGAUAAAGAACUCAUUGAGAUACAUUUCAUGUGAACAAGUUAUUAGCUCAGUUCCAAGAAACUUAUAAAGCAACAGUUUUCUUUUCAAAAUAUUUAAGUCUUAUCAACAUAAGAGACAAAGUUUAAUUAUUGUAUUCUUAAAAGCAUAAUGAUAAAGUUCUAUUUAAUAGCUAGAAAUAAAGUAAAUUCACUAUAGACAAGAACAAAUUUCUAGAAUUGCUACCUUUUUUUUCAAAUAAAAGAAAUUCACUAAAGAACAAAAUGACGAGAUCCAACUUUAACCAAAAAGCAAAUCACAUAAGCUAACUAAGAAUCUGCACCAUAUGGCUAGAAAUUGACAGCUGGGUUUGCUAGCUUAUUAACAAUGCCAUUACCGUAUCCCAAAAAAUAAAAGAAAUUCUACAUAAAUGUCUCUUUUCAAUUCAUCCCGAGUUUUAGUCAAAACCCAAAAAAUUUCCUUCAUGAAGCUACUCUUUCCCAUAAACAAAUCCAUAAAAUAAUUCACUCAACACAAACAAUUAACCCUUUCCAAAAAAAAAACACAAACAAUUAACCUCCAAAAUUGAUUUAUAACAUGAAAAUUAAAAUAGAAAAUAAGAAACACUCAACUGCCAUAUAAAACAUGAAAAUUUCAUCCUAUUAAAUAAUUACAACAAAUAAAAAAACAAAUAAACUUAAUUGAAUUUUUUAGUCAAGAUUUGAGGAGAUUCACUGCAUGAACAAAGGAGAUGGAGAGAAAUUUUAGGGCUUUUUUUUGGUUGAAAGCCCAUUUAGUCCCUGUAUUUUAAGAUUAGUGACCAUUUAGUCCUUUUUGGUAGUUUGCAUGUAAUUUUUGACAAUUAAAAAUUAAUAUAAUUUUUUAUUUUUUUAUUUUUAGGGUUAAGUUGGUAAUUUAAUUAUUUUCUUUUUAUUAAUGUCCAAACAAAAAAAUUAUUAUAAAAUGGUAAUAUUGUAAAAGUAAGCCAAAAGAAAUAAAAAGUAACAGUAGGGGUAUAAAUACUUUAACGGAAGGGAUGUUUUGAGAUAUUUUUAAAAAUAUAAGGACAAAAUGGACACUAAUAUUAAAAUAAAAUGACUAAAUAAAUUUUUACCUUUUUUUUUUUUUAUCCUGUGAAUAGCCUAUGGCUAAAUUUUAGAUUAUCCCACGCCCCCUGAUUAUAAAAAUUAAAGUAGUGACAGUUGUAAUGCAUCUUCGCUUUAACAAUUGUGAGUGUGGGCUGUAAAUUUGCUUUCUAUCUAAUUAUGCUUUUGGCAUAUGCGCCUAAAUAUACACGUCAGGAAAUUGAAUUGUAUGAUUUUUACAAUAACUCUUAAAUACAUGGAUCCAUAUCUUUCUAUUUUCAAAAUGGUUGUGGAAAAGUAAAACUGUGUUACUCUCUCUUGGCAUUGGGCUAAUUCUCCGUGAGAAUCUUGAAAUAAAGUUAACUUUUAUAACUAGAGGGAGGACCAACUUCUUUUAUAAUUAAAAUAUUUAAUGUAAUAAAAUGUAUAAAUAUAUUUAAUAUGGGCUUAAUAAGAAGUCAUGUGCGACAUUAAAGGUAUGCUUGGUACCAUUUUUUGGUAAACCAUUUUUUUUUUCAUUUUAUGACAAUACAAAAAUGUAAAACUUAUUUGGUGGAUGCAAAAAAUAUAAAAUUUAAUAGUUAUUGGUUUUUACUUUUUUUCAUAAAGGUAAAAAACAUUAAAUUGAGGUUCUUUUACCAUAUUUCUCAUUGAAUUCCCUCAAAAGUGAAAUAAAUCAUUAGAAAAAGGACACAUACAUCCUUAAAAUUUGAAAAAUUUGUUAUGCAAACUCUUAAAUAUAAUAUAAUACCCUUUGGAUAUAGAAACUAGAAAAUUGACUUUAAAAGGUUUUAAUCAAUACAAAUAUAAUAUAAAUAAUAUAAUUUAUGUAGUAGACUAAUAACAUUAAAAUAUUUUUAAUAUUUAAAAUAAUAUUAAAAAUUUUAAAUUAUGAUAUCUAUUUUAAUUUUAUAUUUAUAUUUCUGCUGUACGGCCAAGGCGNNNNNNNNNNNNNNNNNNNNNNNNNNNNNNNNNNNNNNNNNNNNNNNNNNNNNNNNNNNNNNNNNNNNNNNNNNNNNNNNNNNNNNNNNNNNNNNNNNNNNNNNNNNNNNNNNNNNNNNNNNNNNNNNNNNNNNNNNNNNNNNNNCAUCCGCCUUGGCCGUACAGCAGUUAAAAGAUUUUAAAUAAAUCUUUGGAUUAAAUAGAUUUUACAAUUAGCAAAAUAUCUUCCUAUCAAUAAUAUUAAAAUUAUUUAUUGAUAAUAUUCCAAAUAAUUUAAAUUUAUUUAUUGUAAUAUUAUGUUUCUAUUUAUUAUUAAAAUUACUUUAAUAUGAUAAAAUAUGCAUCGCAGAUUCUAAAGUAUAAAAAUAUUUUCUUUGCUUGUCAACAAAUGUUUUUUUUCUGAAAACCAAAAUAAAAUUAUGUCAACAUCAAUUCUUCAACACAGCAACCUUUGCUACCCUGCUUUAUGUUUAAUACUACUCUUUCCAUGCCCAAAAAUUCAAAAAUUUUUAAUGAGUCUUGUUACUGGGCUUCUGGCAGUAAUAACAUUGAAGGCAUUUUGAUUUUAAAUUUCUUUUAAAAGAAAAAUUCUUUAAAUUAAAAAAAGAAAAGAAAAGAAAAAAUUGAUUUAAGAUGAAGGUUGGAUCCCUAUUCUUUUCAGAAGGCACGCGUCUCGAAGAACGUGUAUCACGUGUCUGAGAGAAAAAUGAGCAAUAAUGCCGUAUUUGUGGAAUUUAGCCACUUCGCCAGUUUCUUGGCAUCUUCCUUGCAAAUUCUUCCAUGGUGUUUAAUUUUACACCGCUAACCACUUUGAGAUAGAACUAAUCCUUUCAACAUUUCUUGAAGCAAAUAACAAUACAUCUGGGUGCUACAGACAGAAGGAGAUAUGCUGGACGUCCACCUCCGACUAUUUUGUGAGAGGUUGAAAAGGGUGUUAGCAGGUGAAGAAGGCACGUUGACGUUGCGUGAUUGAUUCAUAGAUCAUUCACCAGAUGAUAUUUGGAGGAAGCAAAAACUCAUGUAUCUAAACUUCGGUUGCAUCAAUCUGCCCGCACCUCAAAAAAAUUAUUGCAGCUCUCUGAAAAAUCUCAUUUUCUUAUCAGCCUUACACCCUAGCAGUUGCACUCCAGCUAUAUUGGGCAGACUACCAAAUGUCCAAAGUCUAAGAAUAUCUGGAGAUUUGAGUUACUAUCAAUCUGGGGUUUCCAAAAGCCUAUGCGAACUGGACAAACUUGAAUGCUUGAAGCUGGUGAAUGAGAGCAAGCGCUCACGGAUUGUCCUGACUGAAUACCAAUUCCUCCAAGUCUAAGCCAUCUGAGCUUAUCGAAUACUGAGCUAAUUGAGGAUCCCAUGCCAAUGCUGGAAAAGCUUCCACGCCUUCAAGUGCUGAAACUGAAGCAGAACUCGUAUUUAGGAAGAAAGCUGGCCUGCGUUGGCUCUGGUGGCUUUCCGGAACUUAAGAUUUUGCACCUGAAGUCAAUGUAUUGGCUAGACGAGUGGACGAUGGGGGCAGGAGCAAUGCCAAAACUUGAAACCUUAAUUGUCAACCCAUGUGCUUACUUGAGAAAGCUUCCAGAAGAGCUAUGGUGCAUAAAGAGCUUGUGCAAAUUGGAUUUACAUUGGCCUCAGACAGAGUUGAGACAAAGACUACGGACUUUCGAGGAUAUGGAGUGGCGGUAUGACAUCCAGUUAUAUCCUUACGGAAUCUGAUAGAUUGAAUUGGGUGACUUUUAAUCUAAUCUGAUAACUCAUACGUCUGUUACUUGCCUCAUUUUAUAUGCAACUUUUUGAUAUGUGCAUACACCUGCCAAUAGUGGCAACAAGAUGGAAAGUGAUAGUGGGCCUAGUGGCAAGAUGGAAGACUUGGUCUAGUUUGUUUGUUCAGUCAUUAAUUGUUGAGUCGGUUAUUGAAUAAGUCUUGGGCAGUAGAGUGAUGCUAUUCUGUUGCCUAUUCUGCAGCAUUUCCUAUUUUUCAGCUUUGUUGUUAUUUUCUCUUCCAUGUAUGGCUAUAUAUAUAGCCUGAAUGAAUUCAAUAAAGGCAAGUAGCUUUAUCACCAAC